GACGAACGCUGGCGGCGUGCUUAACACAUGCAAGUGGAGCGACGAACCAGGCUUCGGCCUGGGGCAAAGCCGCGAACGGGUGAGUAACACGUGGGUAACCUACCCCGACGACCGGGAUAACCCGAGGAAACUCGAGCUAAUACCGGAUGUGCUCAUGACUCUCAAGCGUCAUGAGUAAAGGAAGCUUCGGCCUCCGCAUUGGGAUGGGCCCGCGGCCCAUUAGCUUGUUGGUGAGGUAACGGCUCACCAAGGCUUCGAUGGGUAGCUGGUCUGAGAGGACGAUCAGCCACACUGGGACUGAGACACGGCCCAGACUCCUACGGGAGGCUG
rnacentral:rRNA from 1 species